UACGUAGGGGGCUAGCGUUGUCCGGAAUCAUUGGGCGUAAAGCGCGCGUAGGCGGCCCGGUAAGUCCGCUGUGAAAGUCGUAGGCUCAACCUUCGAAUGCCGGUGGAUACUGCCGGGCUAGAGUCCGGAAGAGGCGAGUGGAAUUCCUGGUGUAGCGGUGGAAUGCGCAGAUAUCAGGAGGAACACCUAUAGCGAAGGCAGCUCGCUGGGACGGUACUGACGUUAAGGCGCGAAAGCGUGGGGAGCGAACAGG
rnacentral:misc_RNA from 1 species